rnacentral:rRNA from 1 species
UCUACGGGAGGCAGCAGUGGGGGAUAUUGGACAAUGGGGGAAACCCUGAUCCAGCGACGCCGCGUGAGUGAAGAAGUAUUUCGGUAUGUAAAGCUCUGUCAGCAGGGAAGAAAGAAAUGACGGUACCUGACCAAGAAGCCCCGGCUAACUACGUGCCAGCAGCCGCGGUAAGACGUAGGGGGCAAGCGUUAUCCGGAAUUACUGGGUGUAAAGGUAGCGGAGACGGUGAUGCAAGUCUGGAGUGAAAGGGGGGGGCCCAACCCCCGGACUGCUCUGGAAACUGUGUAACUGGAGUGCAGGAGGGGUAGGCGGAAUUCCUAGUGUAGCGGUGAAAUGCGUAGAUAUUAGGAGGAACACCAGUGGCGAAGGCGGCUUACUGGACUGUAACUGACGUUGAGGCUCGAAAGCGUGGGGAGCAAACAGGAUUAGAUACCCGGGUAGUC